UAGCUAGCUCCCUGAUGUUAGCGGCGGACGGGUGAGUAACACGUGGGUAACCUGCCUGUAAGACUGGGAUAACUCCGGGAAACCGGGGCUAAUACCGGAUGGUUGUUUGAACCGCAUGGUUCAAACAUAAAAGGUGGCUUCGGCUACCACUUACAGAUGGACCCGCGGCGCAUUAGCUAGUUGGUGAGGUAACGGCUCACCAAGGCAACGAUGCGUAGCCGACCUGAGAGGGUGAUCGGCCACACUGGGACUGAGACACGGCCCAGACUCAUACGGGAGGCAGCAGUAGGGAAUCUUCCGCAAUGGACGAAAGUCUGACGGAGCAACGCCGCGUGAGUGAUGAAGGUUUUCGGAUCGUAAAGCUCUGUUGUUAGGGAAGAACAAGUACCGUUCGAAUAGGGCGGUACCUUGACGGUACCUAACCAGAAAGCCACGGCUAACUACGUGCCAGCAGCCGCGGUAAUACGUAGGUGGCAAGCGUUGUCCGGAAUUAUUGGGCGUAAAGGGCUCGCAGGCGGUUUCUUAAGUCUGAUGUGAAAGCCCCCGGCUCAACCGGGGAGGGUCAUUGGAAACUGGGGAACUUGAGUGCAGAAGAGGAGAGUGGAAUUCCACGUGUAGCGGUGAAAUGCGUAGAGAUGUGGAGGAACACCUGUGGCGAAGGGCUA
rnacentral:rRNA from 1 species